rnacentral:rRNA from 1 species
UACGUAGGGGGCGAGCGUUAUCCGGAUUUACUGGGUGUAAAGGGAGCGCAGACGGCGCAGCAAGUCUGAAGUGAAAGCCUGGGGCUUAACUCCGGGACUGCUUUGGAAACUGCUGUGCUUGAGUAUCGGAGGGGCGGGCGGAAUUCCCAGUGUAGCGGUGAAAUGCGUAGAUAUUGGGAAGAACACCGGUGGCGAAGGCGGCCUGCUGGACGAUAACUGACGUUGAGGCUCGAAGGCGUGGGGAGCAAAC